AGGUUUUGGUUGCAUGAGUGAUUUGUGGGCGAUGUUAGGAGAGUAAACCUGAAGAGCAGAUUUCCCUUGGGCAGCUACCCCAGAGUACGGAAAUGAACUUGAAACUUCAAGAUACAAACAUGAAAGGUGAAAUGCAGCUCUCAACCAUCUUUUUAUAGACAAAUAUUAUACUUCCUUGAAAAUAUUUAUAAAAAUAAUGCCAUUUAUUUAAGCUAAUCUGGAGUCCUCCGCCACCCAGUAAUCGUUUAGCAGCCUCACCUUUCCUGUAAUGUGGGUGAUGACAGUGUGUCACCUGGAAGUGAAAGGGGUCCACGGCUUUUUCCACACCAAGACCUUCUUCUAAUCUCUUUCAUGUUUGGGCACCAACUCUGGGUACCGACUACUGGGUUCUUAUAAGGGCUUACUCUUGACAUUUAAAGAGGUAUCAAAGGGAGGCCUUUUUUGUUUAAAAUGCACUGCUUCCCAACAGUCAGUGGCAGAGAAAAAGGUUGGUUAUAGGAUCAGAUGAGAAAACAGAGUUCAGGAAUGCUGACCCCCAUCUGAAGUGCUGGACUUACCCUGAUGCUCUAACUCAUAUUUUUGAAUCCCUUUUACCACUUACUCUUUAGCUAGUAAGGUCAAUGUAAUAAGUUAUAUCCAUCAUUGCAAUGAUGCGCUUCCUAUGUAUGUAUGUUAAUUGUGUAUGUGCAUGUUUAAGCUGUGGGGAUUUUUUGUUUGAAAGAAUGUGUGCUGUUUAGAGAAGAGGGGGCUUGUCCUUGGGUGAGAUGGAGAUUGUAGUUUGUGUUGCAUCCAGGCGGGUGGACUGAGGAGGGUAAAAAGACAGUCCUUCAUUCUGCCUGUGAGUGUGAUGGCAAUUAACAUGUUUGUCUGUAAAAACAAGAAGUAGUCUCUGCGCUAUGGAGAACUGAUUAGAGCCCUGCAUGCUCAGAGUAAAAAGCAGAUGGGGUGAGGGGGGUAGGGAGGGCCCAAGGCACAACCAGCUCCAUCACGUUACAUCCUGGCCCCGAAUAUUA
rnacentral:lncRNA from 10 species